CAAACGGGCAGGCUCACAGCUGCAGACAGCUCGGACCUGUUUGCUGGGGAAUCUCCACUUGUCGGGUGCAGAUUAGAAAUGAUUUCAUUUUCCCAGCAGGAGCAGUACCGGGGGAACCAACCUGCCCGCCAAUGGAUGGACGGUUCACCUGGGUGGCUCCCCGGGCACAGGGCCCCACAGUUGGUUGAAUAUUCUGCGGCACUGUCUUGAAAUCCUUAAUAAUUGCUGAACAAGG